GAACUGAAGAGUUUGAUCAUGGCUCAGAUUGAACGCUGGCAGCAGGGGCCUUCAACACAUGCAAGUCGAGCUUAUGAAGGGAGCUUGCCUUGGAUUCAGUUAGCUAUGAGUAAUGCCUAGGAAUCUGCCUGGUAGUGGGGGAUAACGUCCGGAAACGGCCGCUAAUACCGCAUACGUCCUGAGGGAGAAAGUCGGGGAUCUUCGGACCUCACGCUAUCAGAUGAGCCUAGGUCGGAUUAGCUAGUUGGUGGGGUAAAGGCCUACCAAGGCGACGAUCCGUAACUGGUCUGAGAGGAUGAUCAGUCACACUGGAACUGAGACACGGUCCAGACUCCUACGGGAGGCAGCAGUGGGGAAUAUUGGACAAAAGCCUGAUCCAGCCAUGCCGCGUGUGUGAAGAAGGUCUUCGGAUUGUAAAGCACUUUAAGUUGGGAGGAAGGGCAGUAAGUUAAUACCUUGCUGUUUGACGUUACCAACAGAAUAAGCACCGGCUAACUUCGUGCCAGCAGCCGCGGUAAUACGAAGGGUGCAAGCGUUAAUCGGAAUUACUGGGCGUAAAGCGCGCGUAAGUGGUUCAGCAAGCUUGAUGUGAAAUCCCCGGGCUCAACCUGGGAACUGCAUCCAAAAGCUACUGAGCUAGAGUACGGUAGAGGUGGUAGAAUUUCCUGUGUAGCGGUGAAAUGCGUAGAUAUAGGAAGGAACACCAGUGGCGAAGGCGACCACCUGGACUGUACUGACACUGAGGUGCGAAAGCGUGGGGAGCAAACAGGAUUAGAUACCCUGGUAGUCCACGCCGUAAACGAUGUCGACUAGCCGUUGGGAUCCUUGAGAUCUUAGUGGCGCACGUAACGCGAUAAGUCGACCGCCUGGGGAGUACGGCCGCAAGGUUAAAACUCAAAUGAAUUGACGGGGGCCCGCACAAGCGGUGGAGCAUGUGGUUUAAUUCGAAGCAACGCGAAGAACCUUACCUGGCCUUGACAUGCUGAGAACUUUCCAGAGAUGGAUUGGUGCCUUCGGGAACAGAGACACAGGUGCUGCAUGGCUGUCGUCAGCUCGUGUCGUGAUAUGUUGGGUUAAGUCCCGUAACGAGCGCAACCCUUGUCCUUAGUUACCAGCACCUCGGGUGGGCACUCUAAGGAGACUGCCGGUGACAAACCGGAGGAAGGUGGGAGUCAUCAUGGCCCUUACGGCCAGGGCUACACACGUGCUACAAUGGUCGGUACAAAGGGUUGCCAAGCCGCGAGUGGGAGCUAAUCCCAUAAAACCGAUCGUAGUCCGGAUCGCAGUCUGCAACUCGACUGCGUGAAGUCGGAAUCGCUAGUAAUCGUGAAUCAGAAUGUCACGGUGAAUACGUCCCCGGGCCUUGUACACACCUCACACCAUGGGAGUGGGUUGCUCCAGAAGUAGCUAGUCUAACCGCAAGGGGGACGGUUACCACGGAGUGAUUCAUGACUGGGGUGAAGUCGUAACAAGGUAGCCGUAGGGGAACCUGCGGCUGGAUCACCUCCUUA
rnacentral:rRNA from 1 species